rnacentral:lncRNA from 1 species
UUUGAAAUUUUCUCAAAAUUUGUGUGUUAACCCCUACAAAAUAUUAAGUUUUUCGGUAAAUAGUUAAUAUGCCGAAGCAUAUAAUCUUUAGUGUUGUUUUAAAAUUUCUAACCACAUUCUACAUUUGUAUUAAUGUAUUCUAAACUCUAUUUCACGUUACAUGGGCAUCGUUCUCUUUUUUUAAUCAAUUAAUUUAGUAAAACUUCAUACGUUCCCUAAAUCGAUGGACAAACCCCAAUAAAAUCGCUAUUCUAGAGAAACGGAGACAACAAAGGUUCCAAACCUCUCUAACAAUCAU